GGAGAGGUGUCCGAGAGGCCGAAGGUGACAGACUCGAAAUCUGUUGUGGCGCAAGUCACCGUGGGUUCGAAUCCCACCCUCUCCGCCA
rnacentral:tRNA from 1 species